rnacentral:rRNA from 1 species
CUGGCGGCGUGCCUAACACAUGCAAGUCGAGCGAGGAGAUCCUCGGGAUGAUCCUAGCGGCGGACGGGUGAGUAACACGUGGGCAACCUGCCUCAUAGAGAGGAAUAGCCUUCCGAAAGGAAGAUUAAUACCUCAUAACAUUGCAGUUUCGCAUGGAACAGCAAUUAAAGGAGCAAUCCGCUAUGGGAUGGGCCCGCGGCGCAUUAGCUAGUUGGUGAGGUAACGGCUCACCAAGGCGACGAUGCGUAGCCGACCUGAGAGGGUGAUCGGCCACAUUGGGACUGAGACACGGCCCAGACUCCUACGGGAGGCAGCAGUGGGGAAUAUUGCACAAUGGGGGAAACCCUGAUGCAAGCAACGCCGCGUGAGUGAUGACGGCCUUCGGGUUGUAAAGCUCUGUCUUCAGGGACGAUAAUGACGGUACCUGAGGAGGAAGCCACGGCUAACUACGUGCCAGCCGCUGC